CCAAACUUUAAUUCAAUUUCCACCAUUUUUGAUGAUUUUUCAAAGUUAUACUAAUGCUGCUGCCCACAACUGUUUUAAGGUCACUCAUUCAUUAAUUCUUGGUGUUCACUUUCAUUUAUAUACACUUACACCAAAGCAUAUUAUAUCUUGGCACACAACAAUCAAGUGAUCAUAAACACAUCUUACUCGUUUGCAUCCUUAUCAAUAAUGCAUCAUAAUCUGAGCACAUUAUUUAUGAAUCUCAUAUACAUACCUGUGCCUAGUCAUNNNNNNNNNNNNNNNNNNNNNNNNNNNNNNNNNNNNNNNNNNNNNNNNNNNNNNNNNNNNNNNNNNNNNNNNNNNNNNNNNNNNNNNNNNNNNNNNNNNNUAUCACCCCGUAUGCGUAAGCCUCUCACAUAUCCUACUCUUACUUAUCUUGAGCAUACUCCUUGAAUUUCCCGUUGAACUACUUGUAAUAUUAGAGAUGUUCGAGAUAUCUCGUACACCUGGUAGGACGCCAAUGCCAUAUCCCAGAUAUGGUCUUACAUGGGAUCACAUCUCGGUGCCGAUGCCAUGUCCCAGACAUGGUCUUACACUGGCACUCAAAACUAAUCUCGAGCCGAUGCCAUGUCCCAGACAUGGUCUUACACUGACUCUCAUCUCGAGCCGAUGCCAUGUCUCAGACAUGGUCUUACACUGACUCUCAUCUCGAGCCGAUGCCAUGUCCCAGACAUGGUCUUACACUGGCACACUCACUGCCAUGGUCCAACCAUGGUCUUUUCUGUCAAUUCAUUACGAGUUGUAGUACGAAUGUACUUGACCCUGCAUUUCUCACGAUUGAUCCUUCAAUCUAAUCUCGUACUUGCAUAAAGUCAUGAUUAGAUAACAAAUUUAUAUAAAAUAAUACAUCAUCUCAAUUCAAAUUUAAUAAUCGAUCACUAUAAACUAACUAUACGAACUUACACAUUCUCGUAACAUUAUCGAAUACUCAAUGUUUCAUACACUAAUUGCCAUCGUAUAGCUGAAGCUAUCAUAAUCUCGCACACUAAGUGCCUUACAUAGCCGAAGCUAUCUCGGUCUCGCACACUAAAUGUCAUAAAUAGCCGAAGCUAUUCCAAAUCGCACACUACGUGCCAUAAAUAGCCGAAGCUAUCUCGAAUUUCAUAUUAAGUGCUAAACAUAGCCGAUUUAUCAUUAAACGUGACUGUAUUCUCGUGUAUACAAUUUAUGCAACAACAAAGCAUUAAAAACAUAAUUGUAACAAUGAUUAACGCGUACGAACUUACCUCAACGCGAGUCGAUUAUUUUGAUUGACAUUUCCCCGUAUUUGGUCCAAAUCUCGAUUUCUUUGAUCUAAAAUGUCACAUUUCACUUAAUUAUCACUCACAUUACUCAUUUUAAUACAAAAAUCAUACUACGGAAAAUUUACAAUUUUACCCCUAAACUUUCUCAUAAUUACAAUUUUACCCCUAGGCUCGUAAUAUGAUUUUUAUUCAAUUUCCAUAAAAUUCAAGGUCAGCCAAACCUUUUUCUCUUCUAAAGCAACCUCAAAUUAUUAUUAUUUACAACUUUUAGGAGCAUUUACAACUUUUACUAAUUAACCCGUUUUAACCAUUUUCAACGAAAAUCACUUAGUAAAAAUCGUUCUCCUAACCUCGUGCACCCUUAUUCUAUCAUUAAACAUCAAAAUGCACAAAUAUCUAGCAUGGGUCAAUUUUUAAACUUCAUUUUUCGUGCAAAUAAAUAGUAAAAAUAGAAAGAUUAAGCUUCUAGGAUCUGAAAAAUACGAAGAACAUUAAAAACGGGGCUCCAAUGCACUUACAAUUGAACUUUGAAAAAGCUUGAAACCCUAGCCAUGGCUUGCUGAAAGUUUCGGCAGCAUGGAGAAGAGAAUGAGCAGAUUUUUGGGUUUCAAUUUUGUCUUUUAUGCCUUAAAACACCCAAGUGACAAAAAUGCCCUUUUUAAUAUACCUUCAAUUUUUACCCUUCCAUGACUAGUUUUGUCCAUAACAAAAUAUGAUGGUCUAUUUGUCAUUUAAAGACCUCUAAUUUAAACCCCCAUUUAAAACAAGUACUUAUGUUCUAGAACUCAUAUUUUGCAAUUAAUACAAUUGGAUCCCAAUAAUAAAAUUGGGCACUUUAUCAAUAAAAUUUCUUAACAAAAUUUGCACACCAUCACCCAAACAUAUCAUAGACUCUAAAAUAAUUAUAAAUUAAAUAUUUCCACUUCGAGUUUUUGGUCUUGAAACUACUGUUCCGGCUAGGCCCUAUUUUGGGCUGUUACAAUCCUCCCCUCUUAGGGAUUUUCGUCCCCGAAAAUCUUAUCAAAAGAUAAACUUAGGAUUUAUUUCGCAAAACACUGCCAAAUUCUCAGACAGCUUCGGCACCUCACUUCUUAAACUAAGAUCCUGAACUGUACUUUCUUAUCCUGGACAGAAGACCCACAUCACUGAAUUUUCUCAAGUUCUAAUGAAAUACACACUGAUAAGUAACUGGCCUCAUCCUAUCAAUAGUCUUAUACUCUUCGAUGAACCGUAACUCACUUUUCUUUACUUACCAAAUAAAAAAAAAUUUCUAUCACUAGCAUACUUUCAGAAGCACCUGUCACUUAUCUAAGUUUUAAUACUCUUACCUUUCGAUUCUGUAUUUGUCUCGAAAUAACAAAUAAAUGGCCAGUUUCCUACUUGGAGUUCUAAAUCAAAAGUUAGUUCCUAUUGAACACUUCUAGCUUACUAUUUACUGACAAAAUUCUAAGUUUCACAAAAUCAUGGAAUAAGCAUCAUUAUUUCUGAAUAAUAAUAAAUUUCUAAUUCACAUCAUAAGAUUCUUUUCAUGCAGUAUUAACUGAGUGCUAGCAUAAGCUACUAUUUUCACGUUCUUGUAUCAAAAUACACUUUAAACCAAUAAACUAUUCAGACUGAAUAAUUGAAUUGGUCUUGAAUGUUUCACAGUACCCUUCUAAAGGAACCAUUUUCAUCUGGUUGCCAUGAUAUCUCAGACAUGUAUCCUAUUGCAAUUCUUUCUGGAUACAAAUCAAUGAUCCUUAAAUGAACUAUAUAGUUUCAAUGAUACUUAACAAUCUCGUUUUAACUCUUUGAGAUAUAUCAAAUUACUCAGAAAUAACAACCAUAGUGCGGAUUCCAGCUCAAUCCUUCACUGUUUACUCUUUUAUCAAUGUUGAUUCCUUUCCCAAAAUCUAAAGAUAGAUCACAUCUAAUAAAAUUUAUUUUACUAUUAAUUCUCAAAAUACUGAACCACAUUGGAAUUGCAUUUCUUUGACUAUUGAAAUCGUAGCGCCAUUUCAAGUCUAACAUCUUAGUCACACCAAUAAACAAUAUUUUAACCAAUGUAAAAGCACAAUCUUUACACAUCUGACAACAGUAACAUUAAACAUUCACUAUCAAACUAGAUUUUAUAAUCACAAAAGUAUGAUUACUUCCAAUAAUGAAAUAUCUCUUGCACAAUUCACAAAAUAAAGUCGAUAAGAAAUCUAAGAUAAAGAUAUCCAAGAUUCGAUACUAUACUAGAAGCCUGAGAAUAUAGCUCAUAAGAGAAAUAAUAUUGACUUCAACAAUUCUCAGAAAAUUUCCAGCAGGAAAAUAAUAUUUAUAAGCAUUGAACAAUAACAGAAGCAACAUAGUCUUCAUAUACACAUUUCACAGAAUAACAAUCAGUGGAAACUGAAUUUCAACAUCAUAUGAACUUUACUGUCACUUUUCUAUCAACUCAUUUUAAUAGAAUACCAGAAAAGAUAGAAUAAUACCGAUCACAGCCCAGACAGAUUAACACUACUUUCAUUUAUCACUGAAAUCAACUAGCAUUCUCAUAUGACAAGAACCCCUAACGAGUCGAUUAGUCAACAUUAACUUUUUUCCUUAACUGUAACAUUGCGAAACUCGGAUAAUUUUCAUAAUAACCCGGCAUUUCUUCUGUGACUGUAUUAAUUGUCAAAUCAUUUUUUUAAACUUCAAUCACAUUUUCAAUCAACCUGUCCUUGAACUCUUUGACCUCUCACUUAUGAACACAUUUGACAUGAAUCUCAUGAAAUCAAUUAUGAUUUACCUCAUUAGCAAGGGGGUGAGGUUGUAAAGCCUCUAACUUACUCUCAUAAAUACAUAUAUAUAUAAGACUUAACAUUCAUCAUCAAUGUAAUAUCAUCAUAACCACUUAGUUCAUUCAUAUAUUUUCUCACAUAUAGGGGUCACACGCCCGUGUGUCUACCCGUAUGGAAAAAAAAUCGGGCUAUUUUUCCAAGCUUUAUUUCUCACUCAUUUGAUCUUUUAACUUCACUACUUGUUCACUUUAUAGCCAUAUCAAUAAUCAUCAUUUUCUUGUAUUUCAGAUAAAUACAUAUAACCAUACAUAAGCAUGCAGAUCACUAUUUCUUCUUGUCAAUCACAAUUUCAAAUGACAGAUUUAUGUAAAUGAGCUCAAUAUCAUUAUUUGUUUAACUUCUGUCACUUAAAUUCACAUACACAUAAUUUAUUAACAUAACUUGUCAAACAUAAUCUCUGAAUGGUGAGAUCGCAUAAUUGAGCUCAAUUUCACUGUUCAAUAUGUUUUAUCACAUAAAAUUUACUUAACACUUACCACAAUUUGUCAAAUUAGAGAACGUCUUACGGAAUUGAGUACUUCGUUUUCUCGAUGUCGUAGUCCAACUGUGGUCUUACACAUAAUCACUUAUCACAUACCGAUGCCAUAGCCCAGCUAUGGUCUUAUACGGAAUCACAUAUCACUUACCGAUGCCAUGGUCAAACCAUGGUAUUUUCCGUCAAUUUAUCACAUAUUACUAAACGAAAGUACUCAUUCCUGCGUUCUACUCAAUUUGAUCUUCCAAUUCAAUUUUCAUACCAUUAUAAUAUUCAUGAUUCAAUAAUAAAUACACAAAACAAAAUAUCAUAUUACCUCUAAUUUAACAAUUAAGCAUAAGAUUCUGUCAUAUGAACGUACCAAUUUCACUUAUUCAAGCAAAUAUACAUAAACACACAUUCCAUCUGUUUAAGAAAAUUUUGUUUCCAUAUUCACUUAACUAAAUAUAUUGAGCACAUAACAUCAUAUGAUCACUAACAUACUUGGAUGAGCUUAUCACAACAUAAACUUUCAUUUUUUUUUACAUGAACACAUACAUAUCACAAAUUUCUAUUCUUACCUUUCCAAGUUCUAACAUAACGUGAGCAUAUUUCAUUUAUCUCAAUAUCAUUUUCAGCAUUAUCGAAAAUAGCUCGAUUGAAAAUCAUCUCUGUCUUAACAAAACAAUUUCGUUAGAACCCGGAGAUAUCACACCAUCACGAGUAAUAACAUGGCAUGUAUAGCUAGACUCACAUAUGCUACGUUCGGUCCGAGAAUCGACUAAACCGUAGCGCUGAACCACUAAAUGUAACACCCCUUACCCGUAUCCAAUACCGGAACAGGGUACGAGGCGUUACCGAAAUUAAAAUUUCUUGAACAUAUAAAACCGGGUUAUAAAAUUUCGUCAACAUGUAUCACACUAUAAUUGGACAUCCGAAUAUCCAAUUUUACAUUCACAUUCCCAUGCAAAUCGUCAUUCAAGAAAUCAUUUGUAAACGACCUCCACAACAUUCAAUUAUGCAAUUACCACAUACAUGAAUAACCAUAUCAUAGGCGUAUUGGCCAUCUCCAAAUAGCCUUAAUCAAAAAGAACAUUUAUUAAAUAAAGGUCAACAUUUUAGGCCAUAAGAAAUAUGACAUAUAUGACAAAACGACCAAACCUACUAUACAUGUCGUAACCCAAAAAUUUAUGUAUCUAGAUAUACCAAGUGUUCUAAUUGAUAGUGUGAGCAAAUCUCCGACGUCCACCGAUUCCCGAGCUAACUUGGCGAUACUAUAAGGCAAAGGAAAAGAGAGGGGAAGUAAGCAUAAAUGCUUAGUAAGUUCAUAUGAAAAUAAUAAGAAAUUAUUAAACUUGUGUGGACAAAUCCUCGCAAUAAUUUCUUAUGAUGAUAUAAUCAUUAUAUCACAUGCUUACACUUUAUUACUAAUAUUCACAUUAAUCUGUCUACUUGAGUCACUGUUACUAAAUUAUUUAUUUCUCGAGCUACAGAACUCCAAAUGAAGAACCGUAAAUUUUCCCUGAAACUAGACUCACAUAAUUUCUUAUUAUAGGAAUUUCAUAAUUUUUGGUCUAGCCAAUUAAUACAGUUUAUUCAUUAAAUUUACCCCUGUUUCGCUGUCCAACAGUUCUGACACUUCUUUACAACGAAUCAAUUUUAUCCUCGUACAAAAUUCAUAUGAUGUUCUCGUUUAUUUCACUUGAAAAUAGACAUAAUAAGGAUUUCAAACAUAUAAAGUAUACUCCAUAUUUAUUUUUUAAAAUUUUUACUGAUUUUUCAAAGUUGGAACAGGGGAUUCCUAAACUCAUUCUGACCUUGUCUCACUAAAAUUCAAAUACCUCAUAAUUCAAACUUCUUUUGCUUACUCUGUUUCUUUUAUGGAAAAAUAGACCCAUUAAUCUUUAAUUUCAUAUCUCACCCAAACUUUAAUUCAAUUUCCACCAUUUUUGAUGAUUUUUCAAAGUUAUACUAAUGCUGCUGCCCACAACUGUUUUAAGGUCACUCAUUCAUUAAUUCUUGGUGUUCACUUUCAUUUAUAUACACUUACACCAAAGCAUAUUAUAUCUUGGCACACAACAAUCAAGUGAUCAUAAACACAUCUUACUCGUUUGCAUCCUUAUCAAUAAUGCAUCAUAAUCUGAGCACAUUAUUUAUGAAUCUCAUAUACAUACCUGUGCCUAGUCAUAAUACUCACAUAUCCUACUCUUACU
rnacentral:lncRNA from 1 species